GUGCUCUCUUCGACAGCACACAUACUAAAAUUGGAAUGAUACAGAGAAUAUUAGCAUAGCCCCUGUGCAAGGAUAACACACAAACUUGUGAAUCAUUCCAUAUUUUA